rnacentral:tRNA from 17 species
GGUUAUGGCUCAGUUGGUUAGAGCGUCGGUCUCAUAACGUAC